rnacentral:rRNA from 1 species
CCUACGGGGUGCAGCAGUGGGGAAUAUUGCGCAAUGGGCGAAAGCCUGACGCAGCGACGCCGCGUGAGGGAUGAAGGUCUUCGGAUCGUAAACCUCUGUCAGCAGGGAAGAACGGUCACUGUGCUAAUCAGCAGUGAAUUGACGGUACCUGCAAAGGAAGCACCGGCUAACUCCGUGCCAGCAGCCGCGGUAAUACGGAGGGUGCGAGCGUUAAUCGGAAUGACUGGGCGUAAAGCGCUCGUAGGCGGUCAGUCAAGGCAAGGGUGACGUCCCCGCGCUCAACGUGGGAACUGCCUUUGAAACUGGCAAACUGGAGUGUGUGAGAGGAUAGUGGAAUUCCAGGUGUAGGAGUGAAAUCCGUAGAUAUCUGGAGGAACAUCAGUGGCGAAGGCGACUAGCUGGAACAUAACUGACGCUGAGGAGCGAAAGCGUGGGUAGCAAACAGGAUUAGAUACCCGAGUAGUC